rnacentral:lncRNA from 1 species
UUAUAUAUUUUAGUCUUAAUAUCAACUGGUUGACUUUUCCUCGUUUCUUCCAUCCUCCUAUUUGGACGCAUGUAUCUCCACAAAUUUUGUUUCAUUUUCCCUUCUCUCCAAAACUCCAAAGCUGAGGUGAACCUUCAAAUAACUUUUAUUCCUUGCUUUCAGUGCUUGGAUGUAAUGUUCAUUGGUGAGUACUUCACUUAUUUUCUUCUCCUUUCUUGGCUAACCCUCUCUAACCAUGUUUAAUGCUUUGAUUUUAGUCAAUGAAAAUCUUAGUUGGUGGUGCUAUACAUAUAUGUUGCUUCCAUUCGAGAAGACUGCUCCAAGAUUCUUUAUUUUCUCCAUCCAAAGGCUUCACAACUUGUUUGCUUCUUGGUUAAGGGAAGAUUUCCGAUUCUACAUGAAAAUAUUUUGUGUUGAAUAUGAGCAUAUAUAUGAUACUUUGCCUGAAGUUGCAUGAUUUGAUUCUCUCGUGAUUAUAUAUUUUUGCACUGAGUUUUGAAAGGCCAAACUAUUUUUCUCUAAAUUUUUUAUAUUUCUUAAUUCUAUGCUCUUUUUAUGAAUUUUAUUGAAUUUCUCUGGCUUAAAAUAAAUAUUUACUUUGCAAAAGUAUUGGCUGAAAGUCCAGUUUCCGCAAAUCUGAGAAACUUGAGAAGUUGUAUGGAAUGCAUUUAGUUACAAUUAAAAUUAAAACCUAAACAGUUAAUAAAAUUAAAAUUGUUUAUAUGAACAAUUGUACAUAGGCAUUUCAUUUUUUUUCUUACGUAUUUAACACUAUUAAAAAUAUAUUUUAUUUUUCAAUAUAAAAUAAUUUAAGAAAAAUAAGUAAAUAUAUUAGGUUUUUUAUGUGUGGAAUAGAUGUAGUUUCGUAAGAAAUUCGUGGAAAUUGAAGAACUUGAAGGAUAUAACAACCUAUGUAGCAUUGGUAUCAUACAACAGCCGACAAAAGAAAAACACCAAUUAAGACAUGGUCCAACACAGAAAACAAAUGACCAAUCAGAAUUUUGAAAAGACAAAUGAAAAUGCGAGGAAGAACAUGUGGUUCUCAUAGGUUCGUACUGUACACCAUUAUCCAAACAAAUAAAUUAACCUUCCAACAAUCAUUGAAGUCUUUUACAGUUUUUUUUUUCUCUUUCCUAACUUGUUUUAAGUGUCUAGGACUAGAGCAAGGAUUGGCUUAAGUUUCAAAAAAAAUUAUCUUGUUAUCUAGUGUAAAAACAUUCCCAAUAAGAGUACUGGUUGUCGGGGACAGUGACGGUGGUGACUCUGUGUAGCGGAAUAGAAUUUCAAAAUCAGAAGGGUUUAAUAUCAAGGAGAAAAAAAAAGACUUAUUUUAUUAUUAUUAAUGAUGAAAAAUGUAUUUUUAUAUUCUUUAUUUGUAAUAAUCUAGUUCUUUUAAAAAGAAAAAUAGAUAAAUUAGG